rnacentral:rRNA from 1 species
AGAGUUUGAUCCUGGCUCAGGAUGAACGCUAGCGGCAGGCCUAACACAUGCAAGUCGAGGGGUAGAAGUCUUCGGACUUUGAGACCGGCGCACGGGUGCGUAACGCGUAUGCAAUCUGCCUUGUACAGGGGAAUAGCCCAGAGAAAUUUGGAUUAAUGCCCCAUGGUAUUUUCGAAUGGCAUCAUUUGAUUAUUAAAGUUCCAACGGUACAAGAUGAGCAUGCGUCCCAUUAGCUAGUUGGUAUGGUAACGGCAUACCAAGGCUAUGAUGGGUAGGGGUCCUGAGAGGGAGAUCCCCCACACUGGUACUGAGACACGGACCAGACUCCUACGGGAGGCAGCAGUGAGGAAUAUUGGUCAAUGGGCGAGAGCCUGAACCAGCCAUGCCGCGUGCAGGAUAAAGCAUCUAUGGUGUGUAAACUGCUUUUGUACGGGAAGAAACACCGGUUCGUGAACCGGCUUGACGGUACCGUAAGAAUAAGGAUCGGCUAACUCCGUGCCAGCAGCCGCGGUAAUACGGAGGAUCCAAGCGUUAUCCGGAAUCAUUGGGUUUAAAGGGUCCGUAGGCGGUUUUAUAAGUCAGUGGUGAAAUCCGGCAGCUCAACUGUCGAACUGCCAUUGAUACUGUAGGACUUGAAUUAUUGUGAAGUAACUAGAAUAUGUAGUGUAGCGGUGAAAUGCUUAGAUAUUACAUGGAAUACCGAUUGCGAAGGCAGGUUACUAACAAUUUAUUGACGCUGAUGGACGAAAGCGUGGGGAGCGAACAGGAUUAGAUACCCUGGUAGUCC